UACGUAGGUGGCAAGCGUUAUCCGGAAUUAUUGGGCGUAAAGCGCGCGUAGGCGGUUUCUUAAGUCUGAUGUGAAAGCCCACGGCUCAACCGUGGAGGGUCAUUGGAAACUGGGAAACUUGAGUGCAGAAGAGGAAAGUGGAAUUCCGUGUGUAGCGGUGAAAUGCGCAGAGAUAUGGAGGAACACCAGUGGCGAAGGCGACUUUCUGGUCUGUAACUGACGCUGAUGUGCGAAAGCGUGGGGAUCAAACAGG
rnacentral:rRNA from 1 species